rnacentral:rRNA from 1 species
AACUCGCCUGCAUGAAGUCGGAAUUGCUAGUAAUCGUAGGUCAGCAUACUACGGUGAAUACGUUCCCGGGCCUUGUACACACCGCCCGUCAAACCAUGAGAGUUGGCAACACCGAAGUCGGUAGUCUAACCGCAAGGAGGACGCCGCCGAAGGUGGGGUCGAUGAUUAGGGUUAAGUCGUAACAAGGUACC